CUCUCGGUAGCCAAGUUGGUUUAAGGCGCAAGACUGUAAUGGUUUAACAAGACAUCUUGAGAUCGGGCGUUCGACUCGCCCCCGGGAGA
rnacentral:tRNA from 1 species